GAUGAACGCUGGCGGCGUGCCUAAUACAUGCAAGUCGAGCGAACAGACGAGGAGCUUGCUCCUCUGACGUUAGCGGCGGACGGGUGAGUAACACGUGGAUAACCUACCUAUAAGACUGGGAUAACUUCGGGAAACCGGAGCUAAUACCGUAUAAUAUAUUUAACCGCAUGGUUCAAUAGUGAAAUACGGUUUUGCUGUCACUUAUAGGUGGAUCCUCGCCGCAUUAGCUAGUUGGUAAGGUAACGGCUUACCAAGGCAACGAUGCGUAGCCGACAUGAGAGGGGGGUCGGCCACACUGGAACUGAGAAACGGUCAAGACUCCUAAGGGAGGCAGCAGUAGGGAAUCUGCCGCAAUGGGCGAAAGCCUGACGGAGCAAGGCCGCGUGAGUGAUGAAGGUCUUAGGAUCGUAAAACUCUGUUAUUAGUGAAGAACAAAUGUGUAAGUAACUAUGCACGUCUUGACGGUACCGAAUAAGAAAGCCACGGCUAACUACGUG
rnacentral:rRNA from 1 species